rnacentral:rRNA from 1 species
UACGGAGAGUGCGAGCGUUGUCCGGAAUCACUGGGCGUAAAGGGCGCGUAGGCGGUCUGCUAAGCGUGCGGUGAAAGCCUGGGGCUCAACCCCAGGUCUGCCGUGCGAACUGGUGGACUAGAGCACUGUAGAGGCAGGUGGAAUUUCGGGUGUAGCGGUGGAAUGCGUAGAGAUCCGAAAGAACACCGGUGGCGAAGGCGGCCUGCUGGGCAGUUGCUGACGCUGAGGCGCGACAGCGUGGGGAGCAAACAGG